UACGGAGGGGGCAAGCGUUGUUCGGAUUUACUGGGCGUAAAGGGCGCGUAGGCGGCGUGACAAGUCACUUGUGAAAUCUCCGGGCUUAACUCGGAACUGCCAAGUGAUACUGUCGUGCUAGAGUGCAGAAGGGGCAAUCGGAAUUCUUGGUGUAGCGGUGAAAUGCGUAGAUAUCAAGAGGAACACCAGAGGCGAAGGCGGAUUGCUGGGCUGACACUGACGCUGAGGAGCGAAAGCGUGGGGAGCGAACAGG
rnacentral:rRNA from 1 species